rnacentral:rRNA from 1 species
CCUACGGGAGGCAGCAGUGAGGAAUAUUGCUCAAUGGCCGUAACGCUGAACCAGCCACGCCGCGUGAGUGAAGACUGCCCUAUGUGUUGUAAGCCUCUUUUGUGCGGGGAUAAUAGUGUCCACGUGUCUAUGUUUGCUACUACCCCAUGAAUCCGCACCGGCUAAUUCCCUGCCAGCAGCCGCGGUAAUACGGAAGGUCCGGUCGUUCUCCGGAUUUAUUGGGUGUAAGGGGAUCGUAGGCGGGGCUUUAAGCAUGGCGUGAACUGUUGUGGAUCAACCAUGGGAGUGCGUCGCGAACUGGGGACCUAGAGUGCACGAAAGGUAGGCGGAAUUCGUGGUGUAGCGGUGAAAUGCGUAGAUAUUACGAAGAACCCCGAUUGCGAAGGCAGCCUGCCGCAGUGUAACUGACGCUGAGGCUCGAAAGCGUGGGGAGCGAACAGGAUUAGAUACCCGUGUAGUC